GAUGAACGCUGGCGGCGUGCCUAAUACAUGCAAGUCGAGCGAACAGAUGAUGAGCUUGCUCCUCUGACGUUAGCGGCGGACGGGUGAGUAACACGUGGAUAACCUACCUAUACGACUGGGAUAACUUCGGGAAACCGGAUCUAAUACCGGAUAAUAUAUUGAACCGCCUGGUUCAGUAGUUAAAGACGGUUUUGCUGUCGCUUAUAGAUGGAUCCGCGCCGCAUUAGCUAGUUGGUAAUGUUACGGCGUACCAAGGCAACGAUGCGUAGCCGACCUGAGAGGGGGAUCGGCCACACUAGAACUGAGACACGGCCCAGACUCCUACGGGAGGCAGCAGUAGGGAAUCUUACGCAGUGGGCGAAAGCUUGACGGAGCAACGCCGCGUGAGUGAUGAAGGUCUUCGGAUCGUAAAACUCUGUUAUUAGGGAAGAACAAAUGUGUAAGUAACUAUGCACGUCUUGACGGUACCUAAUCAGAAAGCCACGGCUAACUACGUG
rnacentral:rRNA from 1 species